UGGGGAAUAUUGGACAAUGGAGGCAACUCUGAUCCAGCAAUUCUGUGUGUGUGAAGAAGGUUUUAGGACUGUAAAACACUUUUAGUAGGGAAGAAAGAAAUGACGGUACCUACAGAAGAAGCGACGGCUAAAUACGUGCCAGCAGCCGCGGUAAUACGUAUGUCGCGAGCGUUAUCCGGAAUUAUUGGGCGUAAAGAGCUUGUAGGCGGUUCGUCGCGUCUGGUGUGAAAGCCCAUCGCUUAACGGUGGGUUUGCGCCGGGUACGGGCGGGCUAGAGUGCAGUAGGGGAGACUGGAAUUCCCGGUGUAACGGUGGAAUGUGUAGAUAUCGGGAAGAACACCAAUGGCGAAGGCAGGUCUCUGGGCUGUUACUGACGCUGAGAAGCGAAAGCGUGGGGAGCGAACAGG
rnacentral:rRNA from 1 species